GAGCGCAGGCUGGAAAUUCCUCAUUCAGUAAAGAGGCACAGACCGGCGCAGUUGUGCCCAGGGACCUCACUAAUCCAUCCAGACCCCCGAGGCUUCACUGCAGGGGGGGGAGAGCCGAGAACACCAACAUGGGGGACCGCGCAGAGGAAGGUUCACCAAGGAACCGACAAUACGGCGCCAUUGAAAGGCCCAAUAAUGAAGAAGGAUCCACGUAUCUGGAUGAGAAGAUUUCAAUACCGUCCACAGGAUCGCCUGGCUUCAGCUUCCGCAAGCUCUGGGCGUUCACUGGACCUGGCUUCCUCAUGAGCAUCGCCUAUCUGGACCCUGGGAACAUUGAGUCUGACCUGCAGUGCGGGGCAAUUGCUGGAUUUAAGCUCUUGUGGGUUCUGCUUGGUGCCACCUUCCUCGGUCUUGUGUGCCAGAGGCUGGCCAUUCGGCUCGGUGUGGUAACUGGUAGAGAUCUGGCUCAGAUUUGCCGUUCCUAUUAUCCAAAGGCCCCGCGCUGGUUGCUGUGGAUUUUAGUGGAAAUAGCUAUUAUUGGGUCAGAUAUGCAGGAAGUCAUUGGUACCGCCAUUGCAUUUAGCCUUCUGUCAGCUGGACGGAUUCCUCUGUGGGGCGGCGUCCUCAUCACCAUCAUUGACACCCUAUUCUUCCUCUUCCUGGAUAAAUAUGGACUCAGGAAACUGGAAGCUUUCUUUGCAUUACUCAUUACUAUAAUGGCCGUAACGUUUGGCUAUGAGUAUGUGGUGGUCCGUCCUGACCAGAGGGAGGUGAUAAAGGGCAUGUUCUACCCGUACUGUUCUGGCUGCGGAUCUGAAGAGUUACUCCAAGCUGUUGGCAUCAUUGGCGCGAUCAUCAUGCCGCACAACAUAUACCUGCACUCCUCCCUCGUCAAGUCUCGGGAUAUAGACCGUAAGAAAAAGCAGGAGGUGCGAGAGGCUAACAUGUACUUCCUGAUAGAGUCCACCAUUGCGCUGCUCGUCUCCUUCAUCAUCAACCUCUUCGUCAUGGCCGUGUUUGCAGAAGCUUUUUACAAGAAGACCAACCAGGACGCGUACGAUGUCUGUCUGAACAGCAGCAGCCCUCACGCCGACGUGUUCAAACCCAAUAACGAGACCUUAUCUGUGGACAUCUACAAAGGGGGCAUUAUUCUUGGCUGCUUCUUCGGCCCCGUCGCCCUCUACAUCUGGGCUGUGGGCAUCCUGGCUGCAGGGCAGAGCUCCACCAUGACUGGAACAUACGCCGGGCAGUUUGUCAUGGAGGGCUUCUUGAACCUGAAAUGGUCUCGCUUUUACCGAGUCCUGUUCACCAGAUCCUGUGCCAUUAUACCCACCAUAUUUGUGGCCGCUUUUCAGGAUGUGGAACAUCUGACGACAAUGAACGAUUUUCUUAAUGUUCUGCAAAGCAUUUUGCUCCCAUUUGCUUUGCUCCCGGUACUGACGUUCACCAGCAUGCGCCCACUGAUGCACGAUUUCACGAAUGGCUUAAUCAGUAAAGCCAUUGCCAUUGGCCUCAUUGUGCUGAUCAUCGCUAUCAACUUAUACUUUGUGGUUGUCUACAUCCCGACCCUGGAAAGCAUCACGUUGUAUGUGGUGGUUGGGGUAAUUCUCCUUUUUUAUGCAGUGUUUACAUUGUACCUGCUCUGGACCUGCUGUCUUGCCCAUGGAGCCCAAUUUCUGUCCUGUGGCAGACAUGUUCAGUUUUCGUACGGAUUACCAGAGGAAUACAAUAACCUGCCGGGGACCCAGUAGUGAGGUCAGGGACCUCUGGACUGUUCGGGUAAAUGUGGAUUUAUGUCCUAGAGCUCAAGGGUUCGGCUACACAGUGAUCUUGGUUGCACGACAUCCACCACGCCCAAGGAUCGCAGUGAAGCACUGCUAGUAUAGAAAUGAAUGGGGUCGUAGCACAACUUGCACAUUUGUCAGGACCCCAGAAUUGCUAAAAUUCCAGCAGUGUUGGAUUUUUUGCGAUUCUGGUGUCACUGUUGAGACACAUGCAAGUCGUGCUGCAACCCGCUUUGUUCCUAUGCUAGCACUGCGAUCUUAGGUGUAGCGCCCAAUCGUACAACUAACACCGCCAUAUAGCCGACCACUUAGGAAAAGCAACAAAUUCUGAUCAUGACGUCCAUGCAAUGAUGUUCCAGUGACGCCAUCUUGUGGACAAUAUGUAUACUGACGGUGAAACAAGAUUCAGAAAUCAUGGAACCUCGGGGGCCUCCAGUCAGAUGAUUUUCUCAAGUAUUAAACUCCAGUAAAAAAAAAAAUCUGGAAAAUAGGAGCGACCAUCCGGAGGUUGACCCCAGCAACUCCAAAGGAGUUUUAACCAGUUCUGUAAAGACCUGCUUACAGAUUUUUUAGGGGUGUUUGUCAUGCAGGACCCAGGAGAAAUCCAGACUACUGAAUACCAGAUAAAAGGAAGUUUACUGUGCGUCAAAGUGGGACUAAUGUGGUUACAGGACGAGCGAAAAUGGAAACAUUGGAUUUAGGAGAUAUUUUUGAAAAUGCUGCACAUCCCAUGAGAAUAAGUGCACAAUGCACAGAGAUGCGCCCCUGACCACAGAGCUGUUACAAAUUGACAUUUUGUACUUUUUAAUUUACAGUGGAUGGUGGUCCAGGUCCUUAUCUUGAUCUAAUGUGUCGUGGGGACCAAGGGGAAGGGCAGAAGCCAUUUUCACCACUUUUGUCUUCCUUGCUUUCACGUACAUAAUUAGCGCAGAGCGCCGCGGCAGUGCCACCGCCCAAAUUACUGUAGAAAAGUAGAGUGUAAAAUAUUAAAGGGGUAUUCCAGUAACAGUAAGUUAUCCCCUAUACACGUGCUAGAUUGGUGGGGGUCCAACUGUUGGGACCUCAUCAAUCACUAUAAUGGAGGACCCAAGUCUCCUGUUUGAAUGGCGCGGAAGGUGAGCAUUAGCGCUGCUGCUCAAUUCACUUUCUAUGGGACUAUAUCUAACCCGAGCGAACAGCUCACCCGCCGCUCCUGUCAAAUAGAGACUCAGGUCCCCUGUCCUUGUAACCACUGGGUGUCCCUGACUUUGACCCCCCCCCCCCCCCCCACAGUUAUAAAUAUACCCCAUCCAGUCGAACGGACAGGAUAUAAAACUAGAAAAGUAAAAAAAAAACACACAUAAAAUAAUCCCGUAAAAAAUAAAAUAAAAUAACAAUCAUAAAGGGGGAAUUUCCAAGUCAGAUUUGCUGAAAUCUGCAGUAGCGUAAUUUGCACCAAAUUUUUCAAACGUUUUGCUCCCCUAUCGUAGUGUUAAAAAAGUUGCAAACGAUGGCACAUACCAGGUGUGCACUGUAAUUUGCUACUUUUCAUUUCUCUUGCCGUUUUUCAGAUAUGGGGAGGGGAAGUGGGCGAGGCUUACUGGGAGGGCGUGGCCUCUAGCAGCCCAACAGAUUUACACCAGAAAUGUGCAUGAUCGCCGCCUGGUCAUACCUGAUGGAGAUCUGAAUAACUGCUGCACGGACUGCCAGGAAAUGCGCCAAAUUUAUUAAGAGGCCUGUGUCUAUUUGGAAGCCAAAAUUCCAGAGUGCAGAGUGUGAUAAGUUCCCCCCAUGUGAUUGACAGAAAAGUGAAGUAGAAAUUAUAAUUCUUACAAACUAUAAACCUAAUCUUUCCAAAAAAAAAGUAUAAAUCAUGUAAUUGAAUAAAAAAAAAAUCAGAAGGUAAAUAAUUUACACUAACAAAUGGCUAAACCGCUGUAAAGUUUGGAUAAAGGAGAACUCCAGGGACCAAGUAUGACACAGGGUCAGGGCCUAGGGAUCCAGAGUAUGACACAGGGUCAGGGCCUAAGGAUCCAGAGUAUGACACAGGGGCAGGGCCUAAGGAUCCAGAGUAUGACACAGGGGCAGGGUCUAAGGAUCCAGAGUAUGACACAGGGGCAGGGCCUAGGGAUCCAGAGUAUGACACAGAGUCAGGGCCUAAGGAUCCAGAGUAUGACGCAGGGUCAGGGCCUAAGGAUCCAGAGCAUGACACAGAGUCAGGGCCUAAGGAUCCAGAGUAUGACACAGGGUCAGGGCCUAGGGAUCCAGAGUAUGACACAGGGUCAGGGCCUAAGGAUCCAGAGUAUGACACAGGGGCAGGGCCUAAGGAUCCAGAGCAUUACACAGGGGCAGGGCCUAAGGAUCCAGAGUAUGACACAGGGUCAGGGCCUAAGGAUCCAGAGUAUGACACAGGGUCAGGGCCUAAGGAUCCAGAGUAUGACACAGAUCAGGGCCUAAGGAUCCAGAGUAUGACACAGGGUCAGGGCCUAGGGAUCCAGAGUAUGACACAGGGUCAGGGCCUAAGGAUCCAGAGUAUGACACAGGGGCAGGGCCUAAGGAUCCAGAGCAUUACACAGGGGCAGGGCCUAAGGAUCCAGAGUAUGACACAGGGGCAGGGCCUAGGGAUCCAGAGUAUGACACAGGGUCAGGGCCUAAGGAUCCAGAGUAUGACGCAGGGUCAGGGCCUAAGGAUCCAGAGCAUGACACAGAGUCAGGGCCUAAGGAUCCAGAGUAUGACACAGGGGCAGGGCCUAAGGAUCCAGAGUAUGACACAGGGGCAGGGCCUAAGGAUCCAGAGUACGACACAGGGGCAGGGCGUAAGGAUUUGGAGUAUGACAAAAGGGCAGGGCCUAAGGAUCCAGAGUAUGACACAGGGUCAGGGCCUAAGGAUCCAGAGUACGACACAGGGGCAGGGCCUAAGGAUCCAGAGUAUGACACAGGGUCAGGGCCUAAGGAUCCAGAGUAUGACACAGGGGCAGGGCCUAAGGAUCCAGAG